rnacentral:sRNA from 1 species
CUUUUCGGCUGGAAUGGGGAAUUUGUGAGGUAGGCCGGAAGUGGUGUUGCGGAGGGAAUUGUGGGGGAGAUCAGAGGUGCAGCUCUGCUGGAGAGACCUGAGGCUUGCAACGCUGGGCCCGGCCGAGUCGCUGCGGCUGGGCUGGAGGUCAAGGAUGCAUUCCAGGAAAGUUCCAUAAAAAUAUACCAUCAACUCCAACCUGAUAUUUGACCUAGCUGUGGAAAACCUCAUUGGCUCCUCACUAGAUCAGACCAUAAAAAUGAUUCAGGAAUGAAAAUCUAAGAUAAAUUCCCACCACUUCAAGAUGUUCUUAUACAAGUCAACAGUCUAGCAGAUCAGCCAGUCUCUUUCAUCAUCAAGCAGACAUACUCAAGUGCCAAUUAUAACAUUUUAAUCAAACUGGAACAAAUUGCUAUUAAAAUGGAUCAUUUCUUUAUUAAAAGAAAGAGGAAUAGUGAAGUGAAAUAUACAGAAGCAUGUUCAAGUUCAUCUGUUGAAUGUGGAAUUGUGAAUAGUGACAAUAUUGAGAAAAAUACUGACUCCAAUCUGCAAACUUCAACUUCAUUUGAGCCACAUUUCAAAAAAAAAAAAAAGAAAAAUUUGAAACAUUAAGGGAAAACAGUUGGGUAAAAGAUCCAUUUGCUUUUCGAAACCUUGAAUCAAUAAUUGAGCUAAACUUGGUGCCUGAAGAAGAGAAUGAAUUAUUGCAGCUUAGUUCUUCAUAUACAUUGAAGAAUGAUUAUGAGACCUUAAGUUUAUCAGCAUUUUGGAUGAAGGUAAAGGAAGACUUUCCAUUGUUAAGUAGAAAGAGUGUCCUGCUAUUACUACCAUUCACAGCAACUAGUUUGUGUGAACUAGGGUUUUCCAUCUUAACUCAGUUAAAAACAAAGGAAAGAAAUGGGCUGAAUUGUGCAGCAGCUAUGCGGGUAGCAUUAUCUUCCUGUGUUCCAGACUGGAAUGAACUUAUGAACAGGCAAGCACACCCAUCAUAGUAAAUAAAAAUCUUACCUAGUUUUUGUCUUUGUAUUUCUUAUUUUGUAGUAUUUUUCUAUGUUAUAUUUAAAUGAUACUAUAAUAUUGUGAUACUUUUGUUAUGUUUUAAUUUUUGUUAUAUUUAAUAAAAUUAUUUUAUGUUCA